UGCAGAAUCCCGUGAACCAUCGAGUCUUUGAACGCAAGUUGCGCCCGAGGGACCCUCCCGAGGGCACGCCUGCCUCAUGGGCGUUAGAAGCCCAUCCACGCUCGGUUGCCUAACGGCAAAGAUGCGGACAUUGGCCCUCCGAACCGCGAGGCACGGUGGGCCUAAGUGUGCGGCCGUCGUAUGUGGCCGGGAGCGGCGAGUGGUGGGCUACUGCGCACGUCACCCCGAGCCCCGUACCGACGCAUGGCCUUUUUUUGACCCCUAACGAGGAGCCUGCCGUUGCAGAUUGUGCUGCGUGGCGCCUUCGGACCGAUACCCCAGGUCAGGCGGGGCUACCCGCUGAGUUUAAGCAUAUAAAUAAGCGGAGGAGAAGAAACUUACAAGGAUUCCCCUAGUAACGGCGAGCGAACCGGGAGCAGCCCAGCCUUAGAAUCGCGGCGGCACUGCCGCCCGA
rnacentral:rRNA from 1 species